GACAGAGGGUGCAAACGUUGUUUGGAUUUACUGGGCGUAAAGCGCGUGUAGGUGGCUUCGUAAGUUGGAUGUGAAAUCCCACGGCUCAACCGUGGACGUGCAUCCAAAACUACGUCGCUGGAGUCUCGGAGAGGAAGGUGGAAUGCUUGGUGUAGAGGUGAAAUUCGUAGAUAUCAAGCAGAACACCUGCGGCGAAGGCGGCCAUCUGGACGGCUAUUGACGCUGAGACGCGAAAGCGUGGGGAGCAAACAGG
rnacentral:rRNA from 1 species